GAUGAACGCUGGCGGCGUGCCUAAUACAUGCAAGUCGAGCGAACAGACGAGGAGCUUGCUUCUCUGACGCUUGCGCCGGGCGGGUGAGUAACAAGUGGAUAACCUCCCUAUAAGACUGGGAUAACUUCGUGAAACCGGAGCUCAUACCGGAUAAUAUAUUGAACCGCAUUGUUCUAUAGUGAAAGACGGUUUUGCUGUCACUUAUAGAUGGAUCCGCGCCGCAUUAGCUAGUUGGUAAGGUAACGGCUUACCAAGGCGACGAUGCGUAGCCGACCUGAGAGGGUGAUCGGCCACUCUGGAACUGAGACACGGUCCAGACUCCUACGGGAGGCAGCAGUAGGGAAUCUUCCGCAAUGGGCGAAAGCCUGACGGAGCAACGCCGCGUGAGUGAUGAAGGUCUUCGGAUCGUAAAACUCUGUUAUUAGGGAAGAACAAAUGUGUAAGUAACUAUGCACGUCUUGACGGUACCUAAUCAGAAAGCCACGGCUAACUACGUG
rnacentral:rRNA from 1 species